GUCCACGCUGUAAACGAUGAGCACUCGAUGUACGAGGUAUCCACUCCUCGCGUGUCACAGCUAACGCAUUAAGUGCUCCGCCUGGGGACUACGGUCGCAAGACUAAAACUCAAAGGAAUUGACGGGGGCCCGCACAAGCGGUGGAGGAUGUGGUUUAAUUCGACGCAACGCGAAGAACCUUACCUGGGCUUGACAUCCCGCGACCGCCUCAGAGAUGAGGCUUCUCCUUCGGGAGCGCGGAGACAGGUGCUGCAUGGCUGUCGU
rnacentral:rRNA from 1 species